rnacentral:lncRNA from 1 species
AAAAUCUUAUCUUUAGAAUGGAAAAACUCAAAGUAAAUAUCUUUCCAUCUAAAUAGAAGAGUCAUAAUUUCAUUGUCAGGACUGCUGUUGGUUCGCUUCAACUUUAGCAGAAAGAUCCCAACUUUUGUUGUGUAGAGUUUCCUGUCUAUACGUGAGAAGAGAUUAUUUCCUUUGCUGUUAGACCGAGCUUAUUUAUGAUGAUCUAUUCUAAUGUUGUUGUAAUAUUCUCCUCUAUAAGUUUCUUAUAACUUACGGGCAAAUCACUCAGCACAAGAUUAAAUUUAGAUUAUAUUGUGGGCUUAUAAAAAAUAAACAAAUAUAGAAAAUCAAUUUAGAAAAAGAGAAAUCUUUUCAUUGAAAUCCACAUAUAAUAUGUAAAGAACAAAAAAAUAAUCAUGGUGCACGAACACGAUCAGAAAGAAGAGUCGAGAUUCUGUAACUGCUUCACCUAUGAUUAUUGUUUCUUUGGAGCCAUGGCAACUAAAGGAAGAGGUUUUUCUGAGUCUUCUAAGCAGUAUUUUAGAGCAGGCGGGGUUAAGAUUGUUUAGAACCAGUAGAAAGGACAAUGUAUCUUGUCGAUGGUUAAUGUUUUUCCUUUCCCAUCUUACUUCUCUUCUGUCUCAUAGCAUCGAAGAAGAAAGAGAAUUUGGAGUUGGCGUUGGAGCUUUAGUAAUAAUGAGGCAAGACAAACUCGAUCGCUAAUUGUGUGGUUAAUUUUAUUUUUUGUUUCUCAGGUCCC